GGUAGAGGGAGCCCGGCCACCGUAUCGUGCCCUGCGGGCACGCAAACGAGGAAAGUCCCCCCACCGUCCGGGCGGGCGACCGGGUGCAAACCCGGAGUGCGAGAGCGCUGGCACUGGAACAGAAACGAUACCGCUCCCCCCGAGCGAUGAGGUCCGCGAACCCGACCCGAGAGGGCGGGGAGUCACCGACCGAGCGCCGACGGGGGAGAACGGAUGGAACGGCCACCCUCGCCGGUGCAAGCCCGCGCCACGCGACGCGAGAGCGUCGCCAUGGUAGCCCGGACACGGGUGCGGGCGCUCAGCCGAAUGCCGGGCCGAACAGAAGGGGGCUUACUCCCCUCAACC
rnacentral:RNase_P_RNA from 2 species